CUGGCGGCGUGCCUAACACAUGCAAGUCGAACGGGAAAGUGGAGCAAUCCAUGAGUAUAGUGGCGACCGGGUGAGUAACACGUGACUAACCUGCCCUUGAGUGGGGGAUAACCUCGGGAAACCGGGGCUAAUACCGCAUAACAUCUUCAGGAUGAGAAGCUGGGGAUCAAAGGAGCAAUCCGCUUAUGGAGGGGGUCGCGGCUGAUUAGCUAGUUGGCGGGGUAACGGCCCACCAAGGCGAUGAUCGGUACCCGGCCUGAGAGGGCGCACGGACACACUGGAACUGAAACACGGUCCAGACUCCUACGGGAGGCAGCAGUGGGGAAUUUUGCGCAAUGGGGGAAACCCUGACGCAGCAACGCCGCGUGGAGGAUGAAGUCCCUUGGGACGUAAACUCCUUUCGACCGGGACGAUUAUGACGGUACCGGUGGAAGAAGCCCCGGCUAACUUCGUGCCAGCAGCCGCGGUAAUACGAGGGGGGCGAGCGUNGUUCGGAAUUAUUGGGC
rnacentral:rRNA from 1 species